AAACUAACAAGGAUUCCCCUAGUAACGGCGAGUGAAGCGGGAUGAGCUCAAAUUUAAAAUCUGGCGGUCUCAGAUCGUCCGAGUUGUAGUCUAGAGAAGCGUUUUCCGUGCUGGCCUGUGUACAAGUCCGUUGGAACACGGCGUCAUAGAGGGUGAGAAUCCCGUCCUUGACACAGAUCUCCAGUGCUUUGUGAUGCGCUCUCAAAGAGUCGAGUUGUUUGGGAAUGCAGCUCAAAAUGGGUGGUAAAUUCCAUCUAAAGCUAAAUAUUGGCGAGAAACCGAUAGCGAACAAGUACCGUGAGGGAAAGAUGAAAAGCACUUUGGAAAGAGAGUUAAACAGUACGUGAAAUUGUUGAAAGGGAAACGAUUGAAGUCAGUCAUGCUUUCCGAGACUCAGCCGGUUCUGCCGGUGUACUUCUCGGUUUGCAGGCCAGCAUCAGUUUUGGGCGGUGGAAAAGGUUGGCGGGAAUGUGGCAUCCUCGGAUGUGUUAUAGCCC
rnacentral:rRNA from 1 species